GUUAAUAUAUUUUAAUGCAUAAUAUAUUGUGUGGUGUAUAUAAAUUAAUAUGGUAUAUAAAUUUAAACAUUAAUAUGGUAAAAAUAGAUGUUACGUUUUUUUUUUUUUUUAAAUUUUCAUAUUUUUGGCAUUUUUCUUGGAGGCAGUCCUCCCAUUGCAGCUGCUUACAGCACUGAAAAUCUGUGUGCUUUGUGGUGUGUAUUAUCCAGCUGACAGUGAUUCAGUUGUGUUUGGUGCAUUAAAUCCCACAGAGCUGGGUGGGAUAGCAGGCGGCCAUAUUGCCUGACUCUUUUAGCUUUUCUGGCUCACACAGAACUUCCUUUCCCUUUUUUUUAUGGAAAACAGAGAAGAGAUAGUAGUAAUAUUAGCAUUUCUAGCAGAUUUUUAACUGCCACUGAUGCUUGUUCAUAGUUUUGCGGUGUGGGUUUUCAUGCUAACAAAUACUCUGCUUUGCCUUCUGCUCAGAGUCAGGUGGGGCCUUUAUUGAACAGAUUUAUGUGCUACAAGGCUAUGCAGAAGGAUAGAAAGAAGGAAAGUGAAAAAAAAAAAAUUGAUAAAAGGCCAUUCACUGAUUUGCUGAUGUACUCCAGAGACAAACAUAGCUACUACAGGGGCUGGUUCUGGGGUAACGAGGAAACAAAAGGCCUAAAUGCCUCUUGCUUGUCUGUCUAAGGAUCUGCCUCUGUUGUGGCUCCCAUCCUUCUGAAGAACACUUAAGCACAGUGAGUUGCCUUGUAUAACUAUUUAUUGUUGUAUUAUUGUUGUCAAACCCCAUUGCUGGCAGAGAGAAUUUAAAGGCUGUAUCCCAUUGUUGAGUUACUUCAUUACUGUAUUUUUAUACUCUGUUAAAAUUAUUACAAAAGGGAUUUAGAGCAAAUAGCCUUGAGCACCUUUUUAUUCCCUCUCAGGCAGCUUUUGUGACUUCUACCUCCAAGGUAUCAUCAAAUAUCCCCGAGAUCAUGCAGUGGAAGAGAUGGUGAACUGUUCCAUAUUCUACUUUGCACCACGUGAUUUUACAUCUCUGGCAUACUCCCCCUCAGUAGUCUCCUCUGCACUGGCUCCAUUGGCUGUUCUCCAUGUAAAAGCCAUUCCAUACCUUUGGCUGUCACCAUUACCAUUGUCUGAACCUUUGUAGUUCAGCAGAAUCCUGCAGGCUAAGUGUGGGUAAACCUGUUACAUUGUAGUACAAAUUACAUGUUCUGUCACCUGCUGUCUUCUUUCUCUGCUAAUUCUUGAGACACAGGUUCCUUAUUUUGACCUCUGGGUGCUGUCUUGAUAUUUGCAUCAAACUGUCCUCAUUCCUGACCAUCAAGACCUUAAGUUACUAGAUGAAGCCAGGUUUUGGUUAAUUUUUUUUUUUUUUUUACUACACUCACUCCUAUGUUAGAUUUCAUGUUCCACUUCAUUGGCCAGUGAGCAGACUUCCCUAAUUCUUCAUAGUUGGCUGUUUUGAGUAAUUUAAAAUAAUUAAGCUGUGUCAUCUGAUUUCAUGCCCUUCUGUAGGUUGUUUAGGCAUAUGGUGAAAAGAACUUCUACUUGUGACCUCCCUCUGUGUUGGGGAAGAUGAAACAGGAAAACUGUCG
rnacentral:lncRNA from 1 species